UCCACCUCUGUCUCGCCUUCAACAACGGAACCAAACCGAGAUCCCAUCUCCGCUGGCCGGCGACGGUAAAUAACCCUAACCCCCUUCGAUCACUCCGAAAACCCUACUUCGAUCUUUAAUAUCAGAUAUUUUCCUUUGGUUUCGGCUUGCAAGUAAACCCUGUUCUCGGAUUCCGAAGAGGGGGUCCACGGCCGAUGCUCCUCUUACGACCUCUUACGCCUCCGAGGCGAUCGCAUUCGGUUGGCAUCGCGGAAUCCUACGAUUACUAGAACAGCGAGAGGGAGAUGAAGAGAAAGGGGUUCCGAACUUCUGCCCAGCUGGAACAGAAGCCGGAUCACGAGAAAGCUCUCGACCUGGGCCUGCGGUGAUGUCCGGAUCUUCUCGGAAAUGCUUCUCCCUUCUUCACAAACAACCAUGUGAUUUCAUCGUCGCCACUGAUGAACCCGUCUAAAGACUGGAACCGGGCAUGAAUGUGACUCGAAAUUGGUGCUGCACUCCUUCUGGCUGCAGUUUCUGUUGAUCUGGCAACUCAUACAGCGGUUUCUGUCGGUAAUUUCCUCAGUCUAUACCUGACCAAGUAGGGGACCGUUUGGAGGUGUUAGCACACCAAUCUUUAUUUCCUUCGAUGCGUAGCUAAUAAUCCAUUAGCUUCUUCGAAGCUGAUGCAGCUUGUCCGCUCUUUGUGGAUCAUACAAAUUGAUACUAGAUCGUUCUUAAGUGCCAAGUAUUCUUCAGAUAGGUCUCUGUGUUCAAAUAAAAAUCUUCAGGUUUCCACUGCUCUUUGUUUGCAGAAAUUAGGGAGACCAAUUAUUAUAGACUUGUCAAAUUAUGUAGUUGCAGCAAAAUUGCUUAAUUUGACUCUAUACCUUCAUUAGCUAAGCUGUUAAAUUCUGUAUGUUUUCCUAUAUUAAUUUGGUAUUAAAAUUGUCUUUGGUUUUUUA